GUGCAGCAGCCGCGGUAAUACGGAGGAUCCGAGCGUUAUCCGGAUUUAUUGGGUUUAAAGGGUGCGCAGGCGGCCUUGUAAGUCAGCGGUCAAAUCGUGGAGCUCAACUCCAUUCCGCCGUUGAUACUGCCGGGCUUGAUUGCGGUUGAGGUUUGCGGAAUUCGUUGUGUAGCGGUGAAAUGCAUAGAUAUGACGAAGAACUCCGAUUGCGUAGGCAGCAGACCAAGCCGUAAAUGACGCUCAUGCACGAAAGUGCGGGGAUCGAACAGGAUUAGAUACCCUGGUAGUCCGCACAGUAAACGAUGAAUACUUGUUUUUGGCGAUAUACAGUCAGAGGCAAAGCGAAAGCGAUAAGUAUUCCACCUGGGGAGUACGCCGGCAACGGUGAAACUCAAAGGAAUUGACAGGGGCCCGCACAAGCGGAGGAACAUGUGGUUUAAUUCGAUGCUACGCGAGGAACCUUACCCGGGCUUGAAAGUUAGUGAAUGGAUUGGAAACAGUCCAGGCCCUUCGGGGGACACGAAACUAGGUGCUGCAUGGUUGUCGUCAGCUCGUGCCGUGAGGUGUCGGCUUAAGUGCCUUAACGAGCGCAACCCUUUUCCAUAGUUACCAGCACGUUGAGGUGGGGACUCUAUGGACACUGCCAUCGUAAGAUGUGAGGAAGGAUGGGAUGACGUCAAAUCAGCACGGCCCUUACGUCCGGGGCGACACACGUGUUACAAUGGGCAGGACAGCAAGGAACGAGGCGGCGACGCUGAGGGAAUCUCGAAACCUGCUCCCAGUUCGGAUUGGAGUCUGCAACCCGACUCCAUGAAGCUGGAUUCGCUAGUAAUCGCGCAUCAGCCAUGGCGCGGUGAAUACGUUCCCGGGCCUUGUACACACCGCCCGU
rnacentral:rRNA from 1 species